CUCGCCCAGACCCCAAAACCAAUCGUCACUGCCUAGGGUUCUCCCGCCGCCACCUGCAGUUGGCGACUCAUCGAGGAACGCUGCCGCCGGCCGUUCUUCCCCAGCAUCCGUCUAGCAGCUGAAGGCAACGCCUGGUCGUCUGCUGCAUCGAGCUUGUGCCGACAGGUAAUAAAUAAGCGACAUGCAUGGGAAGCGGGCGUAGCACAACACAUCACUCCAUCACACAACAUUUCCAUAUACCGCCUAGAAAUACAUAUAUACAAAGUAGUCAUAAACCAUUAGUUGUGUAUUUGAUACUCCCUGUUUGAGUUUCCUAAAACCAUUUGUUGUGAACCUUUGGUUGAUCUAGUACUACUUAUAACUAUUUCUUGAAUUGUGAGCUAUAUACAUGUUAAUGGUCAAAUAUUUCUGAACUGUUUGUUGUGGAUCUUCUUAUAAAUAAAGGAGGUGCUGCCCGAUUUUAGCAUUA